UUCGUUAUUGGCACAACAGCUUCUGGAAAUCUGUUUCACAGAGAGUAUGGGGGCUUCUUUGGCCAAAUGGAGUGGGUACUUAUGAGUUCGGUCAGUGCCUGAGGGAGCACUCACUUCCUUGCCUGGUCAUAUUUUCAUUGGUGCAGGCUCCGUCUGCUUGGCAGCCACUGUUUGGGCCACAGCCUGUCCGCAGGGUCCUGCUCCUCUCUAAUUUGUUCAGACAUUGUGGUGUGUCUGGCCAUAUCAUUUGUCAUAGGUGUAAAAACAAUCACAACCAAAGCUUAAAGCUGUUGGGAUGAGCAGCUGCCUGGGAAUCACGCUCCUUCCUGCUCUUUCCAAAAAGCCAGGUGCCGCCGGCCAGCAUCCCGCUCCCUUUGACCCGCAGUCUGUGCGGGAAGUAGGCCCGGAGUGGUGCCAGCAGGAGGUGGCCUUAGAAAGGCGGAGACCCAAGGAGCAGAGUGAGUCGGCGUCCAGCUCCACCUGAAAGCGCCAUCUUGUCGCCACUUCCCUCAGGAGCAGAGCCAGCUGGAAGUUGCCUAAAUGUUGAAGCUACA
rnacentral:lncRNA from 1 species